UACGUAGGGGGCAAGCGUUGUCCGGAAUCAUUGGGCGUAAAGCGCGCGUAGGCGGCCCGAUAAGUCUGCUGUGAAAGUCCAGGGCUCAACCCUGGAAUGCCGGUGGAUACUGUCGGGCUAGAGUUCGGAAGAGGCGAGUGGAACUCCUGGUGUAGCGGUGGAAUGCGCAGAUAUCAGGAAGAACACCAACGGCGAAGGCAGCUCGCUGGGACGGUACUGACGCUGAGACGCGAAAGCGUGGGGAGCGAACAGG
rnacentral:rRNA from 1 species